rnacentral:lncRNA from 1 species
AAUCUUAGACCUACACAUGAAGCUUUGCUCUCAUAAGCAAUGGAUUAGCCAUUAAUAAGAGGUAUUCAAUGCUAAACCAGGUUGGAUAUAAACCAGCAUUAUCAAGAUGAAUUGUCUUGAUUUCAUAAUAUGAAAGUUUUGCUCUUAGUUGAGAAAAGCAAUUUUAAAUGCCAAACUGCAGGUUGACAAUGAACACACAUGUAACCAUCUUAUAUAUGCAUCUAUAAGUGGUUCACAUAAUAGGUGAAUGGGUCCAUAUUCACCUUUUAUAUAUUUUAGAAUCAGGGGUCUUAGUCCCAACUUUAGCUAGUAUAAUCAAUUUAUUAUGAGAAGAAGCAACACAGGAGAAUUCUUGAAGAAUCUUCCAGUUCUUCAGUAUAUGCUUAUCUAAAUUCUCAAAUAGCUCAUUUAAAAAUGGCAAAUGAAAACUUCAAGUUUAUCAUAGCAUGCGCUAUCUCUUAGUAAACUUCUGGUUUACUAUGGCGCAAACUUUUGCAUUAGUAAACUUCUGGUUUACUGUGGCUAUUUUUGUAUAAAUAAAUUUCUCAUUUACUAUUGCUGCUUUUGCAUUAGUAAACUUCUCGUUUAUUGUGAUACAUGAUGUAGUACAAAUUGAAAAAUAAGGCGGGUAACUUCUCACAUACUGUGACGACCCGGCUAGUCGUCUCAUGAGUUACCACUCCGUUUUCCCCAUUUAUGCUUCUUUAUACUUUUUUUAUCCGUGUUAUGUGAUAUUGGGUUGGUCAGAUCGAAUCCGGAAUGAAUUUGGUAAGGUUUGAGACACUUAGUCUCUUUUAAGGAGGCUUAAGUUGGAAAAGUCAAUUGGAUGUUGACUUAUGUAUUAGAGGGCUCAGAUAUGAGUUCCGAUGGUUCGGUUAGCUUCGGGAGGUGAUUUGUGACUUAGAAGCGUGAUCAGAAUGAAUUUUGGAGGUUCGUGGUAGAUUUAGGCUUGAAUUGGCGAAGUUGAUAUUUUGGAUAAUUCUAGUUGGUAGGCGAGAUUUGAUAUAGGGGUCGGAAUGGAAUUUCGAGAGUUGCAGUAGUUCCGUUGAGUGAGUUGGGAUGUGUUUGCAAAAUUUUAGGUUAUUCAGACAUUGUUUGGUUGGGUUUUUGAUCGAAAGCAUAAUUUGGAAGAUUUUAGAAAGUUUGGCUUGAAUCCGAUGUGUUUUGGGUGAUUUAAUGUUGUUUGAGGUGUUUUGGUGAUUGGAACAAGUUUGAAUAAGGUAUUGGGAUAUGUUUGUGCUUUUGGUUGAGGUCCCCGGGGCCUCGGGAUGAUUUCGGAUGGUUGACGGAGAAGUUGAAUUUUUGUUGCAGCUGCUGAAUUUGCUGCUUCUUGUAUUUUCGCACCUGCGGAUUGGGGACCGCAGGUGCGGUGCUGCACGUGCGGGAGAUCUAUCGUAGAAGCAAAAAAGGGUCAGGUGAGCAGUGACCACCAAAGCGGUAAGGUGACCGCAUCUGCGAUGUCGCAGAUGCAGAAGUGUCGUCACAGAUGCGAUUUAAGCUGGAUAAGUAAUUUCUGCAGAAGUAGAGGAUUUAACCGCAAAUGCGGUACCGCAGAAGCAGGUAUUGUGCCACAGAUGCGAAAAGGUCUGGGCAGAACAUAUAAGUUAUUUCAUUUCGCAAAAUUGAGCUAUUUCACCAUUUUUGACUUCGGCCUUGGAGCUUUUUGGGCGAUUUGAAAGAGGGAUUUCAUUGAGGUAAUGGAUUUAGACUUAAAACUCAUUCCUAUGCUAUUAUUUUAUGGAUUAAAGCUAGAAAUUUUGGAAAUCAAAGGUUAAAAUUGGGGGAAACUAGGGCUUGGAAACUUAGGCUUUUAAUUGUGGAUUUGAAGGACCAUUUAGGGUCAGAUUUGAGAACUUUUGAUAUGUAUGAACUCAUGGGAGAUAAGGAAUCUAUUGAUGUAAAAAAUAUUAAAUUCCAAGACGUGGGCCCGGGGGUCGGGUUUUGAUAAUUUCGGGAUUUGUGUCAUAUAUUGAUUAUUUUCGCUUGGGCCUCAUUCCCUUAGCAUAUUUUGACGUCCUCGUUCUGAUUUUGGAUAGAUUCGACGUGCGUGGAGGCCGAUUCGAGGGGAAAAGGCGUCGGGAGCUAGAGAUUUAGCCUGUUCAAGGUGAGUAAUGAUUGUAAAUGAUGUUCUGAGGGUUUGAAACCCUGGAUUGCACAUCUUAGUGCUAUAUUGAGGUGAGGCACACGCUUGAUGACGAGCGUAAGGUCGUGCACUGUUGGGGAUUGUGACUUGGUCCGUCCCGAUUGAUGAUUUUACCGCGUAUUUGACUAAAAACUAUUUGCUAUCAUCAUUAUUUGGGCUGAAUGUCAUCUUUGGGCUUCGUGCCAACUAUUUGAACCCUUUGGGGAUUUUUAUUGAUAUUUCCUCACUGUUUUGACUAUAUACUUGCACUCAGUCACGUUAUUUUCCACUGUUUUCAUACUCAGCCAUGUUUACUCAGUUUUAAUACUUAAAUGAUAUUUUAAAUGNNNNNNNNNNNNNNNNNNNNNNNNNNNNNNNNNNNNNNNNNNNNNNNNNNNNNNNNNNNNNNNNNNNNNNNNNNNNNNNNNNNNNNNNNNNNNNNNNNNNNNNNNNNNNNNNNNNNNNNNNNNNNNNNNNNNNNNNNNNNNNNNNNNNNNNNNNNNNNNNNNNNNNNNNNNNNNNNNNNNNNNNNNNNNNNNNNNNNNNNNNNNNNNNNNNNNNNNNNNNNNNNNNNNGUUACUCACUGAGUUGGAGUACUUACUUUACUCCCUGCACCCUGUGUGCAGAUUCAGGCGUAGCUGGUUCACUCCCGAGUGCUGAUCCCUCCAGCUUCAGGCAGACAUUCGGAGUUCACGAGGUAGCUGUUGGCGUCCGCAGACCCGUGUCUCUACUCCUUUAUCACUUAUAUCUCUUUUCACAUAGUUAUACUAUUUUAUUGACUUAGUGGAUUUGUAUUAUGACUUAUAGAUGCUCAUGACUAAUGGCACUCCGGUUAGGGCUGUGUAUGGGUGUUCUUCCGCGUAUUUAUGUUAUUAUCCAUUGUUUUGAAUUUAUUUUAUCCUGUUCUUAAAUGCUUAACUGUUAAAAAUUGGAAAAUGGGAAGUGUCGGCUGGCCUUAUCUUCACGAGAGGCGCCAUCACGACCGGGUCCGAGUUUGGGUUGUGACACAUACAUAUUUACCCCCUAUGAUUGUGGAAACAUGAAGAUUUUCAAUCUUUCAAUCAUUUGUAGUCUCAGUAUGAUUGUUAUUUGUAUUAGUAAAAUUCAAGUUUACUACAACAUGUGUUUUGACCAUAAUCAUAUAAUAUGAAUGACAUAUUUAUAUAUAAGCUCUCAAGAGCUUUCAUUCAUUAUCCACAAUCUAAUAUUUAUUGGACACUACUUGUGUCAUAUGUCUUCUAGACAAACAGAUAGCUCUUCGGGAACUUUUGAUAAAUUUUGUACUACCAAAUAUUGCUCAAACACUUCUGGUGUCAUAAGAGAAAAUCAUAAUCAAAUAGACAAUACAAAGCCAAUUCUAAAUUUAUAAAUGACGAAAAUCAAGAAUUUUAAAUUCUACUACUAACUUCGUGACAAAUAUCUCCUUCAAGGAGAAAUACCAUUAACAUCUGAAUAUUUUGUAUCAAUGCGGCAACCACAUAGUCAUUGCAUCCUUUAAGAAAAGAUACACGGGUAGUUAUUUCCUUCGGGGAACUCAAUAACUGUCACGACCCGAAUUUUCCACCCUCGGGAGUCGUGAUGGCGCCUACUAGUGUGAGCUAGGCAAGACAAACCCUUAACUUCUUACUUCAUUAAUCAACUACUCCUUUUUAACAAAUGUAAGGCGAUAACAGAAAAGCAGCGGAAAUUUAAAUAAUUAAGCGAAAGAUAACAAUUAAAUAUCUGAAAUCUACAUCUCAACCACCCAAAACCUGGUUUCACAAUGUCACAGACAGUCUAAGAUUUACUACAUACAAAGUCUGAAGAAAUAAUAAUACACUGUUUCUGAAUAAAAGGAAAAUGAAACAGGAAAUAGGGAUAGAGGGAGACGCCAGGGCCUGCGGACGCCUACAGGUCUACCUUGGAUCUCCACGUGAACUGGAGGUAGCCUCCACACUACGGUCCGAAAGCUACUCCGGGAUCUGCACACAGUGCAGAGUGUAGUAUCAGCACAACCAACCCCAUGUGCUGCUAAGUGUCUAGCCUAACCUCGGCGAAGUAGUGACGAGGCUAGGACCAAACUACCAAACAAACCUGUGCAGUUCAAAUAUAUAUAUAUAGUAGACAAGAAAUGCAAAAAUAACCAGUCAAUAUGGGAGGGGGAACAUGCUGUGGGGGACAUAACAGUUUUGAAUAGAAAGACAUCAAGUAAGGAAAGAAUCAAUAUAACUCGGAUAUCAACAAAGAAUCAGAAAUCAACAAAUGCAUGGCAUCACCCUUUGUGCUUUUACUCUCGUCCUCACCAAAGCAGUUAUAUAAUAAAAAUGUGCACGACAUCACCCUUCGUGUUUUUACUCUCUUUCCUCACCAUGUAGUCAAUAAAAUUGGCACGAAAUGGUACAUCGUGCGGCACGACAUCACCCUUCGUGCUUUACACUCUUUCCUCACAAUAACAAACAAUGUACGACAUCACCCUUCGUGCUUUAACACUUUUCCUCACCCAAACAACAAUUACAGCAAUGGGGCAAGGGAAUAAAUGAAAUUGCAAUAAAGAUCCCGACAAGGGAAUAACAAUUCAAUAAAUAAAUCCCGGCAAGGGAACAUCAUCAAUAACCUCAACAUCCCGGCAAGGGAGAUAAUGAAUAAAUCAACAAAAGCCCGGCAAGGGCGACAACAUAAUGAUCACUUAUACUUUCACAAUUCGUUAUACAACUUGAGCCAACGCUCCUCAAUGUUCAUAGGUCAUAAUUACUUCCACAAACUUUAUACAACAAGUAGAAACCAUUACCAAGGCAUGAUAGAUACAACGAAGUCAUGAUAAUCACAAUAUAAGACUCACAUGUAUGCUAGAUACCAACGUAUAGAUACUCAUCACCAUGUCUAUACGUCGUACUCAACAAUUACCACAUAGCAAAUAGGACUCGACUCCUAAUCCCUUAAGCUAAGGUUAGACCAAACACUUACCUCGAUGCCACGAACGCAAUUCACGAUUCAAUUAUAGCUUUUCCCCUUGAUUCCACCACCAAUUCGCGCGUAUCUAGUCACAAGUUACUUAAUUACAUCAAUAAAUACUAAAUGAACCAAUUUGAAUGCAUGAAAAUGAGUUUUCUAAAGUUUUACCCAAAAAUUCAAAAAUCGCCCCCGAUCCCACAUGGUCAAAACCCGAGAUUCGAACCAAAACCUGAUUACCCAUUCCCCCCACGAAGUCAAAUAUAUAAUUUGUUUUGAAAUCAGACCUCAAAUCAAGGUCCAAAUCCCCAAUUUUUGAAAAACAGAGGUUCUACCCAAAACACCUAAUUUCCCCUAUGAAAAUCAUUGAUUUUGAGUUGAAAUCAUGUUAAAAGAUGUUAAGGAGUGAAGAAAAUGAGUUAGAAAUCACUUACCAACGUUUUGGAGAAGAAAGGUUGUUUGAAAAAUCACCUCUUAUGUUUUUGGGGUUUUAAAAAAUAAAAAAUAACUGAAAAUCCCGUCUAAAUAUACCCCUCUCAGACCCCCUGUGCGGACCGCACAAAAUGGAGUACGGCCGCACAGCUCACCAGGUUGACUACAGGGAAAUGCUCUAGUAUUUUGGCCAUAACUUUCUCUACAGAUGUCCAAAUUGUGAUUUCUUCAACCUUCUGGAAACUAGACACGAAGGGCUAGAACUUUCAUUUUUCGAAUCAUCUCAAAAUUCCUUGUAGAUCAAAAGAUAUGGGCUUCCGAAGUCGGACCAGUGAAACGUUCUUCACUGCGGACCGCACAGAAUCUAGUGCGGCCGCACAGGCCCACACCGCGGUCCGCACAAGCCCCUUCGCGGUAGCAUUCCUUUUUGUGCGGACCGCACUGGUCAGUUCAGAGGCCUUCCACCUCUCUGAACCUGCAACACCUAUGUUUUUAAGCCUAAGACAUCCCGGAACCUAUCCGAAACUCACCCGAGCCCUUAGAACUCCAAACCAAGUGUGCAUACUAACUCAAAAAAUCAUAUGGACCUAUUAAUGUGAUCACAUCAUCAAAAUAACAUGUAAAAUCAUGAAUUAAACCUCAAAACUCAACAUUUUCCUCAAGAACUCUUAAAGUUCAUAACUCUUCAACCAGAAGUCCAACUCACGUCAAAUAAACUCCGUUUUUCACCAAAUUUCACAGUUAUCUUUCAAAUACUAUAACAAUUGUACCGGGCUCUAGAACCUAAAUACGAGCCCGAUAACAAUGGUUUCAAAUAUGAAUUCUUUUCUUUAUUCCUUAGAUAAUUCAGUAAAACAAUUUCUUUCAAAAAUUGAUUUCUAAGGGUUGGGACCUCGGAAUUCAUUUCCUAGCAUACGCCCAAGUCCCAUAUUUUAUUCCGGACCUCCCGGGAUUGUCGGAACACGGAUCUGGGUCCGUUUGCUAAAAAUGUUGACCAAGGUCAACCAUAAUCAAAGUUUUAACUCUAAAAUUUCUAUUUCUCAUAUUUUCACAUAGAAGGCUUUCCGAAUAUAGGUCCGGACCACGCACGUAAAUCAAGGUGGGGUAAAAAGGGAGGUUUUUAGGCCUCGGAACACUGAAUGAACUUGCAACACAAGUGAUGACCUUUUGGGUCAUCACAUUCUCUACCUCUAAAACAACCGUUCAUCCUCGAGCGGACAUAAGAAGGAAGUACCUGAGUCGGGAAAAAGAUGGGGAUAAUGGCUCCACAUAUCGGACUCGGACUCCCAGGUCGAUGCCUCAGCGGGCUGACCUCUUCACUGAACACGAAUAGAAGGAAAAAUCUUCGAUCUCAAUUGACGAACAUGCCGGUCUAGAAUAGCUACUGACUCCUCCUCAUAAGACAAGUCCUUGUCCAACUGGAUAGUGCUGAAAUCUAACACGUGGGAUGGAUCGACGUAAUAUUUCCGAAGCAUGGACACAUGAAACACUGGAUGCAUGACUGAUAAGCUCGGCGGCAAUGCAAGUCUAUAAGCCACCUCCCACUCGAUCAAGAAUCUCAAACGGGUCAAUGAACCUAGAGCUAAGCUUGCCCUUCCUCCCAAAUCUCAUCACGCCCUUCAUAGGCGACACUGGAAGCAAUACCCACUCACCGACCAUGAAUGCCAAAUCUCGAACCUUGCGGUCGGCAUAACUCUUUUUCCUGGACUGAGCUAUACGAAGCCUAUCCUGAAUAAUUCUGACCUUGUCCAAGGCAUCCUGAACCAGAUCCGUACCCAACAACUGAGCCUCUCGCGGCUCAAACCAUCCAACCGGAGACCGGCACUGCCUACCAUAUAAAGCCUCAUAAGGAGCCAUCUGGAUACUCGACUGGUAGUUGUUGUUGUAGGCAAACUCUGCUAAAGGCAAAAACUGAUCCCACGAGCCUCCAAAGUCAAUAACACAAGCUCAGAGCAUAUCCUCAAGAAUCUGAAUAGUCCGCUCAGACCGCCCAUUUGUCUGAGGAUGAAAUGUUGUGAUCAACUCAACUUGAGUGCCCAACUCUCGCUGAACUACUCUCUAGAAACAUGAGGUAAAAAGCGUACCUUGAUCCGAAAUGAUAGAUACGGGCACACCAUGAAGGCGGACAAUCUCCCGAAUAUAGAUCUCAACUAACUUCUCGGAAGAAUAAGAGGCUACCAUAGGAAUGAAGUGCGUUGACUUGGUCAGCCUAUCAACAAUGACCCAUACUGCGUCGAACUUCCUCCAAGUCUACAGGAGUCCAACAACGAAAUCCAUAGUGAUCCGCUCCCACUUCCACUCGGGAAACUCAAUCCUCUGAAACAAGCCACCAGGCCUCUGAUGCUCAUACUUAACCUGCUUACAAUUCAAACACCGAGCCACAUAUGCAAUGAUAUCCUUCUUCAUUCUCCGCCACCAAUAAUGCUGCCGCAAAUCUUGAUACAUCUUCACGGCGCCCGGAUGGAUAAAGUACCUGGAACUAUGAGCUGUGUCACACCUCCCUUUUUCCUAUCCCCCGAGAAGGGAGUAUAUGGGAGUUUUUUCCAAUUUAAGUGACAAUCGAAACAGAAUUAUUUAUUUAAAAUUCAGAGUCGCCACUUGAGAUAAUUUAUGGUGUCCCAAGUCACUGGUUUAAAUCCCAAAUCGAGGAAAGAUUGACUGUGUUUUACAGUCCGCGAACACAGAUAUUCGGGUAAGGAAUUUUGUUAACCCGGGAGAAGGUGUUAGGCAUUCCCGGGUUCCGUGGUUCUAGCACAGUCGCUCAACUAUUAAUAUUAGCCCAAUUAUCUGAUUUUUGCACGUUUUAAACCUAUUGUGCCUUUUUAACCUUUUAGCUGCUUUUAUUUAUUUAAAGAAUUAAUUCAAGGUUAUUUAAAAUAUAUCGCAAGCCACGCUACAUGAAAUGCACUCGUGAUUCACGACACGUUCUAUUUAACCUUGUUGGGAAUUAGAAUCGGGUCACAUGAAAUGCACACCCGUAUUGAGAUUCACGUAUCGUGACCAUACCACGGGAACCGUACCCAUGGCCACGAUGAUUUAUUAAUCGCGCAUCAAAUUCCAACCGACUUUAGCAAACAUGAAACAUUAUGAAAAGCACUAUUACACACAAUUUCUAAAAUACUUCAUGAAAGGUUAAUAAGUGAUAUUUCUCAAUGGAAACCUUCAAACCAAGAGUCUUCCCACGCAAAAAAAAUCAUGUUUAAACAAAAGAUAGAAAGCAAAUGCUAUUAUUCUAAUCAACUCAACUUUGAAUCUACCAGGAAAUGUAGAUCAACCUGUCAUUGCUCAUCUCAUACAACCUAAACCACCAAAAGACUAUAACUAUUGUAGCCUAUCCACCAUUGAACCGAAGCUGCUCUUAAGUUUCCACCACAACAAAAGCUAAUCAACUAAUACCAAGUCAAGCUAAAGAUUGAUUUAUUAUUCACCUAUAUACAAUCUUCUUAAAAAAACCAACUUGCAAACAUAGGUAACUGCCUUAUUUAAAAAUUCUUCACUAACCCCUCAUCACACAUUCAUCAAUCCACAUUUCAAGAUUGAGAAUGCGAUGAAGAGUCUAUCAAGAGCGAUACAUUACUAUCUCAAAUCAGAAAAGCUAAAACAUAUGUUAACAAGACAUUCCAACUUGACUAAAUUAAUGGAUUGUUCCGAAUAAAUCAAAUAAAGAAGAGAAGAAUGGAAAAUGGACCUGUUUAGUCGAAACUCAUUCUUAAUGUUGAAUCGACGGAUACAAACCUCAGCUCCGCAAUUCGGCUAAGGACAACCAUAAAAAUCGAGCAAAGCCACGAACCAAAUCGGAGCGACGAACAAAACCUCAAACGACUAGUUUUAUGGCUCAAAAGCUUUGAAUCGCAAAACUCAUUAACUAAUCACAAAACUCAAAAGCUAGUGGUGUCUCCAUUCGUCGAUGAUCAAUUUCGAUGAGGCAACAACUCGAGCGACAAAACUAAAGGGGGAUCGGCUACUAUCAUCUUUCACUGUUAAGAGGAAAAUGAGAGAGAUUUUUGGGAGUUGGCGGCUGAUGUUAUCUUAGAAUCAGUGGAGAGCUGAGAGUUGAGAGCUUUUUUUUUCACGGGGUAUACGAUUGCUCCCUUUUCAACCAGAAGGAGUAGCUGCUCUCCUCUCUGUAUGUUAGGUUCGCUGUUUUCCUUUUUGUGUUGUGUGUGUGUGUUUUCGGUUGUUUCUUUAUGUCCAGAAGAUGAUAGGAGGGCUCCGUUCUUAGAGGAUUCGAGGGUUUCUGUUCAGUCCUUCAUGAAGAAAAGACUUAGUUUUUUUUUGUGCAGGUCUCCUAUCAGAAACAGCGGAUGCUUCGUGUAUCUCUGUUUGCGGCUGAUGUCCUCCUUUUUGAUUUUAGGCGUUAGGUAUAUUGUAUAGGUCUAGGUUUUAGGUUAUUUUUUG